AUGUGGCCUGUGGGCUUCCCUUUGUCAUCCUAUGCCUGAGGAUAUAAAAUGGGGGCUGGGAAGGCAAAGGGACGUUUGCUUGCCAUCAUC
rnacentral:pre_miRNA from 1 species